UAUUUUAAUUUAAUCUGUGGUAGUUUCGCGGUUAUUUGGUUUAAAAUUUUUCAGUAGUAAUAUAAAAGUUUUAAGCAAGUAAGUUUUAUUUAAUUAUUAAUAUUAAACUAAAAAUAUCUACUUAUAGAUCUUAGAAACAUAAUUUUUAAACUAUUUUUUACAGUUUAAAUAAAAUGUCUGCCACGGGUACUCAAAUCGAAACCCUUAUGGAUUUCAUGAUGAAAAAUCCAGAUUUAGCCCGUGGCCUUAUACAUAGCGUAGAGGGUCGUGUUCAAUCAAAAAGAUUGUGGGAUAAUAUCACAAGCCAUUUAAAUAGCCUUGGAGGUGCUGUAAAAACUGUGCAGCAGUGGAAGAAGCCUUUAGAACAGCCUACACCAAUGACAAUUACUGAAACCAUAUCAAACACCUCUACUAACAAAGAGACCCUUGAAGCUACUCCUGAUAUUGAUUCAGAAGUACACAAUAUUCAAGCAUCAAGGCGGCCACGCAGACGGGUACGUGUGUCACAGCCCGACAUAAAGCAACAAAUCCUUCGCCUUGAAGUAGAUAAAAGGGAUAUCCUAGCAGGCAUCCUGGAGGAAUUAAAAGAAUUGAAUAAUAAUUUGAAAAAUAUAAUUGAAAAACUUUA